rnacentral:rRNA from 1 species
UACAGAGGUCUCAAGCGUUGUUCGGAUUCAUUGGGCGUAAAGGGUGCGUAGGCGGCGCGGCAAGUCGGGUGUGAAAUCUUGGAGCUUAACUCCGAACUGCAUUCGAUACUGCCGUGCUUGAGGACUGGAGAGGAGACUGGAAUUUACGGUGUAGCGGUGAAAUGCGUAGAUAUCGUAAGGAAGACCAGUGGCGAAGGCGGGUCUCCGGACAGUUCCUGACGCUGAGGCACGAAGGUCAGGGGAGCAAACGGG